rnacentral:miRNA from 1 species
GGCAAGAAGUCGGCAUAGCUG